UUUUUUAUUGUGCACGGUGAAAAAGUGUGAAGCUGCCGCUUCCAACGUAUAUCAGCUGUAUACCAGCCCUGUUUCUUGUCCUUUGAUUCAUUUUUGGGACUUCUGCAUGAAGUUUUGACUCGGAGAAGUGGGAUAUAUAUAUAUAUAUAUAUAUAUAUAUGCCAUAUAUGCCAGAGGGGGAGAAUGGAGCCCAAUGGACUCGAUGAAAUCGCGUGCAUCAAGGAAAAUACACCAAAUUAGUAUAAGUUCAAAAUAAUUUAUCCAAAAGUGAAAGAAUGAAGAAAAAUAGGUAUUUCAAACACCAAAGAAGAUACCAUGAGAAUUUAUCCAAAGUGAAAGUAUUCAAAGCUUAAUACAAAGUUCAAAAUAAUUUAUCCAAAGUGAAAGAACUCAAAACGUAAUCUAUAUAGUUCAAACACCAAAGCAUAUACUAUGAGAAUUGAAACAAAACUAGGAGAACAGGUAUUUCAAAUACCAAAGAAGAUACUAUGAGAAUUGAAACAAAAAAAAACUGGGAGACCAAUGUUAACAACUUAGCAUUUACAUUCAUAGAUCUUCAAACUUUUCACAGUCUCAACAUUAUAGUACGGCAAACUGUAGAUAUUUUAGGUCUGGACAACCAUUUCAAAGGUUAUUUGCUUUUGGGAGAUAUCAAGAAUGCAUGGAAAAUCUCAUUUUCAACUUUUAAACAUACAUAUACAAUAAAGAGAAGAAUAGAACAGAAAAUAAGAAAACUAGCAGCAAAAUAUUAGUCACAAAAUGCACAAUCAUCCUUAACCCCACAUGUUGAUAUAGAAAGGAUUGCUACAAUAUUUAUAUUACUUCCAGAGUUCCACUAUUAUAAGAUACUCAACAUAAGACAUCUAAAGAGAAUACUGGGUUCGUUAAACUGUACCAACUCCAUCUUAUGCCAAAGUAAAAUUAUACUACAUACUUUUCCAAUUAAAGAUAAAAAAGUAGUACUCCCUCGGUUUAUAUUGGAACUUAAUCGCUAAAGGAUAUAUUUCACAAUGACAACGUAUUUUAUACAAAGUUAAAACAUACAACGUACAAACAGUGAACACAAGGCAAAAAUGUGACCUUCGAGAUUUAAUCAAAUAUACACCAUUUCAUUCACAUUGGAGUCUAGAUUAUCGACAAAGCAAGUAUAAUACAAUAAAAUCCUUGAUUUCUACAGCGAAUAAUCCCAGCAAUUACGAUGACGAGGAUGCUAAUAAGGAAAUAAGAAAACAAAAACUGAAAGAGAAAGGUGUUUACCUUUUUCCGGGCAGCGAAUGGGGAUAGACGAGCCUUAAUCAAAUGGACUUUCA
rnacentral:lncRNA from 1 species